ACAGCAUCAAAGCCUGUCUUUAGCGAUAUCAUAGCUCCCUCGAGAGCCAAGCUUCAUCUGAGCUGCUUACCCUGACAUCACAGGAAACCAUGGAUGUUACCGAUAGGGCCCUCUGAAGAUCCAAGGUAGAACUAGGUCAGGUUACGGCAAUCUGGGAGCUGCUGGGGGAUAUCCACAAGGUGCUGUUGCUCCGGGUUAUGGUGGUGGAUACCCACAGCAGGCUGGAGGUGGAUAUGUCCCUGCCCCUCUGACUCCUCAACAAGCCAAAGCAGCAAAGUAUGGAGCGUUGGGGGGAUUCCUUAAGGGUGCAGGAGGAGGAGCCUACCGGGGUUGCCAGGGGAAGUUUUGUGGCAGGAGGAAGUAACGGAUCUCUGGGCUAUGCUGUGACCUCAAGAAACCAUGGUGCUACUGCAUGAUGUCGAAUGUACAUUUUGUAUGCAAACACAUCCCCCGAUUAGAGAGCAUGUAGGGAUGGUUGAUUCUUACUUUGUCCUACAGACCCACCGACUCAGAAUUUUGUAAAACUUAUCUUUGAUGAAGCUAGUUGAACUGAUGAAUGAUAUGAUAACAUGUCCGUUUAUCAUAUGAUGACAUGACAUUUCUUUUGUUUUGUUUGUUGUACCGCUUAUAGGGUCAGAUGAAGAAAGUGUUUUUGAACAGACAACCCGCCCUCAUUGCUACUAGGUUAACUAAUAUUUGUGUAAAGGACAACAUGCCAGUUUCUCAAAAUGAGAAACUGGUGGCCCUCAAAUAAAAUAAAAAAGUCCAACAAAAUAAAUAAAAACUAGAAUAUAGAAAUAGUUAUAUGUUUUAAAUUCGAGAGAAACAGUGUUUUUGCAGAAGUCUGUGUUUAUGCCCCUUCAACCUAGCCUGGUGAAAUAUCACUUGUGUAGAGGACAAAGGGAUUGACGCGUGCGUGCUAACACAACCGUACAAUACCAUCUUGUAAUCGAUUGUGCACACUGUAGGCAUUUGGUCCUCCAUCCUUGGAUGUGUUAGGGUUCUCAAACCACCACCCUGCAUAUCCUAUGGAGGUGGAGGUGAGAGGUAGAAGGCAUGUCCCUGGUGCUGACGCAUACUUCUUCAUGGUGCAUGUUCUCUGUUCAUGUUAAGCUUGUGACUGUAAAGAGCAGCCAGUUUGCCAGGUUGUUAUGACCUGCUCUCCUCAACAAUGGUCAUUCUAUGCAGUUAAGCAGCCCUGAUGUCUCCUUAUUUCUACCAUGACCAAAAGUGUAAAUGAAUGAAGGACCGUUUUCUGCUCUGGAUUAUUGUAUGCCAAAAGGUGUUUCAUGUCCUUAAAAAAAAAAACGUUAGGAUACUGCUCUGGUAUGUACAUUGUUGCAGGACAAUGACUUGAGUGUUGAGUGUGGUAUGGUGCUUUAUUCACCCUCAAGUGUAGUCUCACUUAUUAAGGCUUUCUGUAUUUACAUUUAGGCAACUUGUCAUUAUUCAAGAUUCUGUUUUCACCCGACCUUAUUUUCCUCAUAAUUUUGUCAUUAGCAGGUAUGUCUGAACAAGAAGUGAGAAAAUAUGUUUUAAACUUUGCUUCAGCAUUUAUUCACUGUUGAGAAUUAUACUGACUAAGAGCUUUGUUUAAAGAGGGAGACUACCUAUGUGUUUAUGCCCUGUCUAAGUGGGACUUUACCGACUUGAGUUACAUUAAAGGAAGUCUCACGCGUGAUCAGCUCAACUAAUAAUAGACUCCCUCUUUAUAUAUGUGUGUACUGUAUUUUAUACCAGUUGGACUUAAGCGCACUUGGUUCUAUUUCGUGCUUCUGUAAGAACUAUAUUUGAGCCUUGCUAGGUCCGACCUUGUCUUCUGUGCCGUGAGAUACUAUGUUCAUCUUAAUUUAAAAAAAGAAAUUAAAAGGAGAACCAUGGGGAUUUUGCACUUUUUUGUAUUUCUACGACACACUAUGACAUGCGCCAGACAUCCUGGCAUUUUAUUUGCUUCAUAAGAUAACAAAAUAAAAUGUGUUUAAAAAAUCAA
ensembl:lncRNA